AGAAACAAUCCUUUCCUCCUCCACUGUCAUUUAAGAACAUAGGAUUAGAACAUUUACUGUUCAUAUUUUAAGGCGAAAAGGAAUAAUUGCUUUUUAUUUUGAACUGGCUGUUCCAGACUGUAGCCAUUAGUGUCUUGCAGUUGUUUCUGGCUAUCUUUGUAUUGAUUGAGCAGCACUAUGUACAUGAUUUCAGGAAUCGAAAAUCUUCUUUUCCACAUCUGAGAUCAAAACUGAAUAUUUGUUUGCUAUUGCUCAGAUCUACAGGGUUUCUGAUAUGGAACUUGUAAGAGUUCUUCCCAGUGCGGAGGAUGAGGUCAAUGUUGCUUGUUUUCAUCCAUCUGCUGGAGGUGGGCUUGUUUAUGGAACUAAGGAAGGAAAGUUGAGGAUCCUUCAGUAUGAUCGUUCUCAAAACACAAGUCAUGCAACAUGUGUAUUUCUUGAUGAAAACAUGCUUGAGGUCCCUACUUAUGCUUUGGAGUGCUAGAAGCUGUGCUAUCCACUUGUGGAUGAUGCUGCUCGGUUUAGCUGGUUUGUUUCUAUUCAUGUUUAAAGCAUUGGGAACCUGUGUCCAGUGAGUCUUUUUAUCUUACUGGGCAGGUCACCUUCGUUAGUUGCAAAAGGAAAUACAUUUCUCAAGCUACGCUGGGAAGCUGUCUAGAAAGCAACUACAAAGGUUCUCAAAUUGUCCUGUGCACUUGUGCAUUUCUUGGAUGAGGCCCAAUGAGCCAUUCUUACAUGUUGCUGAAUACCACCAGCAUUUUUCUCUCAUCAUAGUGAACCCUGUACCAGUCUGUUGUUUCCUUGUUCUUCGAUGAUAUAUCGCAAUAUGUGUAAUACAAGUCGGUGACUCCCUUGAUGGUUUCUUCAGUUAAAAGAAGGAAAAAAAAAAUAAACAAAAAAAAAUUCUCUUGUUGGCUCACAGAAGUAUAUACAUUAGGAAGUUGAUCUUAAAUUGGAGUGAAGUGGGAUCAGUCAGUUGAAGCAAAAGAUGGUUUAAAGGUGUUGAUCCUUCAGUUUUCUGUUAAAGAUUGUUGAUAUGUAAUUCAUCCCUUUUUGUUUUCAGAAAUGUAAUUAGUUUUGUUUCUGUUUGUAUACAAAUGAGCUGACAGAAAGGAUUAAAAACAAGAAUGUUCUUUCCUCUUUUGUUUUGUUUUUUUUUUUUGAUUAGGUUAUGUUUAUAAGAACUUGGGUUUGGGUUAAUUUUGCUGCAAAUUUGAAGAAAAAAAAAUCAAACACCUUAAACAUA